UUAGCAUGAUGACAAGGUUAGUUAGCAUGAUGGGGAGGCUAAUUAGCAUGAUGCUGAGCUUAGUUAGCAUGAUGACAAGGUUAGUUAGCAUGAUGCUGAGCUUAGGAUGUUACUGUAACAGAUCAUAUCGGUAUGUAAUGUUUUGGCUUUUUCAGUAGGACUUAUCUCCCUCCAGGACUACUAUCCAC